ACUCUAGUGGCGGACGGGUGAGUAACACGUGAGCAACCUGCCUUUUGCUGGGGAAUAACUGUGGGAAACCAUGGCUAAUACCGCAUAUUGUACUGGCUGGGCAUCCGGUUGGUAUGAAAGGAGAAAUCCGGCAGAAGAUGGGCUCGCGUCCGAUUAGGUAGUUGGUGGGGUAACGGCUCACCAAGCCGACGAUCGGUAGCCGGACUGAGAGGUCGAACGGCCACAUUGGGACUGAGAUACGGCCCAGACUCCUACGGGAGGCAGCAGUGGGGAAUAUUGGUCAAUGGGCGCAAGCCUGAACCAGCCAUCCCGCGUGAAGGAAGACGGCGCUAUGCGUUGUAAACUUCUUUUCCAGGGAAAUAAAAUCAGGUACGUGUACCGGAUUGAAGGUACCCUGGGAAUAGGCAUCGGCUAACUCCGUGCCAGCAGCCGCGGUAAUACGGAGGAUGCAAGCGUUAUCCGGAUUUAUUGGGUUUAAAGGGUGCGUAGGCGGGAAAAUAAGUCAGUGGUGAAAUCCUACAGCUUAACUGUAGAAUUGCCGUUGAUACUGUUUUUCUUGAGUAUGGUCAAGGAAGGCGGAAUGUGUAAUGUAGCGGUGAAAUGCUUAGAUAUUACACAGAACACCAAUUGCGAAGGCAGCUUUCUGGCCCAUUACUGACGCUGAGGCACGAAAGCGUGGGGAUCGAACAGGAUUAGAUACCCUGGUAGUCCACGCCGUAAACGAUGAUCACUAGCUGUUGGCGAUAUACUGUCAGCGGCAAAGCAAAAGCAUUAAGUGAUCCACCUGGGGAGUACGCCCGCAAGGCUGAAACUCAAAAGAAAUUGACGGGGGCCCGCACAAGCGGAGGAACAUGUGGUUUAAUUCGAUGGUACGCGAGGAACCUUACCUGGGCUUAAAUGUAGAGUGCAUUUCACCGAAAGGUGGAUUUUCUUCGGAACUCUUUACAAGGUGCUGCAUGGUUGUCGUCAGCUCGUGCCGUGAGGUGUCGGGUUAAGUCCCAUAACGAGCGCAACCCUUAUCGUUAGUUGCCAGCGGGUAAUGCCGGGAACUCUAACGAAACUGCCGGUGUAAACCGAGAGGAAGGUGGGGAUGACGUCAAAUCAGCACAGCCCUUAUGUCCAGGGCUACACACGUGUUACAAUGGUCGGUACAGAGGGCAGCUACCUGGAGACAGGAUGCGAAUCUCCAAAACCGGUCUUAGUUCGGAUCGGAGUCUGCAACUCGACUCCGUGAAGCUGGAUUCGCUAGUAAUCGCGCAUCAGCCAUGGCGCGGUGAAUACGUUCCCGGGCCUUGUACUCAGCGCCCGUCAAG
rnacentral:rRNA from 1 species